rnacentral:rRNA from 1 species
UACGAAGGGGGCUAGCGUUGUUCGGAAUUACUGGGCGUAAAGCGCGCGCAGGCGGUCUUCCAAGUCAGUGGUGAAAGCCCGGAGCUCAACUCCGGAACUGCCAUUGAAACUGUAAGACUUGAGGACGAGAGAGGUGAGUGGAAUUCCCAGUGUAGAGGUGAAAUUCGUAGAUAUUGGGAAGAACACCAGUGGCGAAGGCGGCUCACUGGCCCGAUACUGACGCUGAGGCACGAAAGCGUGGGGAGCAAACAGG